rnacentral:misc_RNA from 1 species
GAACGCAUCUUGCGCCCUUUGGUAUUCCGAAGGGCAUGCCUGUUUGAGUGUCAUGAAAACAUCAUCCCAUCGGGUUUCCGAUGGCAUGGACUUGGGUGUUGCCGUCCGGCUCGCCUCAAAAGCCUUAGUGGUUCGAUCGAAUCUGGCGUAAUAAGUUUCGCUGGCCUAGUGACGUCUGCUUUACCCGUCUUCUGACAUUUUUGCUCUGACCUCAAAUCAGGUAGGACUACCCGCUGAACUUAAG